rnacentral:lncRNA from 10 species
CCAAGGGGCACUGGAUCUCAAGUGCUACUCUAUAUGAGUGUGUGUUUUGGGAGAAGUACUAGGGAAGAAGGGAAGGCUUUUUUCCAUAGAAAGGCAUGCGAUGUAGUAAAAGUGGGGAAGCUUUGGACACAAUCCUGGCUCAACAACUUAUUAGGGGUGUCUAAUCUUUUGGCUUCCCUGGGCCACACUGGAAGAAGAAGAAUUGUCUUGGGCCACAGAUAAAAUACACUAACACUAAUGAUAGCUGAUGAGCUUAAAAAAUUUUGCCAAAAAAAUUUUUAUUUUAUUUUAUUUUAUAUUUUAGUUUUUGAGAUGGAGUCUCACUCUAUUGCCCAGGCUGGAGUGCAGUGGCACGGUCUCAGUUCACUGCAACCUCUGCCUCCCAGGUUCAAGCAAUUCUCCUGCCUCAGCCUCCCAAGUAGCUGGGACUACAGGCAUGCACCACCACGCCUGGCUAAUUUUUUGUAAAAAAAAAAAAAAAAAUUAUAAUAUUUUAAGAAAGUUUAUGAAUUUGUGUUGGGCUGCAUUCAAAGCCAUCCUGGGCCGCAUGUGGCCCGUGAGUUGUGGGUUGGACAAGCUUGACGUAAAUACUAUGUGGCCUUGGCCCCUUUCCAGGCCAUGGUUUCCUCUUCUGUGAAAAGGGAACCAGUGGCUGGGAAAAGGGAACCAGAAGCCGAAGUGGGAGGAUCACUUGAGCAUAGGAAUUUGAAAUCAGCCUGGGCAACACAGCAAAACCUUGUCUCAAUUUUAAAAAUAAAAAAUAUAUGAAAAAAGGGAACCAGAGUGACUAUUUUAGGGUAGUUUUGAGAAUUCACUGACAUAAUGCCUAUAAAGCCACAGCAGGUGUCAGCCACACAGUAGGUGUUGAAAAGCUGGGAGCUGCUGCGUUGCUGCUGUCAUUAUUGACUGGCCUGUUUUUCAAAACAGGGCACAAAGUGAGUUAUGGGAGCUCCAGAAAGGAAUGCUUGGUUUCAAUACUUAGCAAAUAAUAACAAAAAGAAUAUUGAAGUAUAUAUAAACAUUUUGAGGCCGGGCGCAGUAGCUCACGCCUGUAAUUCCGGCACUUUAGGAAGCCGAAGUGGGAGGAUCACUUGAGGUCAGGAGUUUGAGACCAGCCUGGCCAACAUAGCAAAACCUUAUCUCUACUAAAAAUACAAAAAUUAGCCGGGCGUGGUAGCACGCGCCUGUAGUCCCAGCUACUCAGGAGGCUGAGGCAGGAGAAUCACUUGAACCCAGUAGCAGGAGGUUGCAGUGAGCCAAGAUCGUGCCACUGCACUCCAGCCUGGGCGACAGAGCAAGGCUCCAUCUCAAAUAAUAAAAAUUUAAAAAUAAAGUAUAUGUAAACAUUUGAAAACAAUGACCAUUUAUUUCUCUAUCUGGAAAUAUGCAGACUAGCUGAAUAGAGAAAUCCCUUCCUAAAAAUGCUGAAUGAAAUACCAAAAAUGUGUGUGUGAAAGCACAGAUAAAAGGGUGUUAAACAGGGAAUCAGUCAGAAGCCAGAAUAACAAGAGCAUGACCCCAUCAGGGUGAGCCUGCACCGGGGCCUGUGCUUUCUGAGACCCUGGGAUGUAAAUGGCCAGUGUGCCAGGCACCUCCUGGGCACCACUUCAGUCUGCUUGGCCCCAGUUCUGAUUCUGGCCACUGCUGAGGUGAUGAGUGUUCUGUGGGCCUCAUGCAGGUGCUGCCUCACCUUGGGCACAUGGGGCCCACCCCUCCCUUCCUGUCUGAGUCUCACUGACCCCACAGGGCAGAUGCUCUCGGGAAUCCCCUGAACCAUUAUGCAUGCGCAGACCCCAAGUUCAGGGGAGUUCAUGUCUGUGAGGCCACUCUUGACCAAUGAUUGACACAAGCAAAUACUCAUUGUGUCUUUUUUGUAUCUCCCAUUUCAUAAGACUCCUUGGAAGAUCCUAUGGAAUCAAGCACCUAUCAGAGGUCCCCUUAAAUAAUGCGACCUUGUCCCGGGCUUCCCUCUUUCUUUCUCUCUCCAGCCCUCACUCCUACUCCCUGGGAUUACUUCCAAAGUUAAUUACACAAAAACCUUUGUCUGAGGCUUUGCUUUUAGGGGAAACAAAAUGAGGAAAGAGAAGAAAAGACCUGAGGUCUGGUCCUGGGAAGUAGGUUAUCAAAGAUUUCCUUUCUCCCCCAAAUUUGGGACUUCUCAAAAGCCAGUGCCCUAAGGGAGAAAUGGGGAGAAAACAACUCAGCCACAGAAGACUUUGCCGUACCCACUUAGCUGUGCUGGAGAGGUAACACAGGCUAAAAAGAAAUCCAGUAAAAUGCAUAACAAGCUGAUAUUCACACAGAGAAAAGCCCAACAUCAUAUUCCCUAUGUGAUUGGAAAAACACUAAGCCAAAAACAAUUUUUAAGUGGAUCUGAGUUGGAAGUACCCCUAGGCGCCUGGCAAAAGCAAACAAAAAUCCUUUCUGGAAGAAUAUAUUUUAAACACAGAUUCAAAGACUUCCCACAAAGAAUUUCAAGGAACAUAAGUUCAUAAUUAAACAUCAAUAAACUCAAAAAGAAACAAACCACAAGGGCAUGAGUCAGCAGAAACAACGAAUAACAAGAUGAGACCCACAAAUACUACAUAAAAUAGAAUGAUGAGAUGCAGGAUAGAAAAUAAGUGUUUCAGGCCGGGCGCUCGGCUGUAAUCCCAGCACUCUGGGAGGCCUGGGCUAGAGGAUUGUUUGAGCCAGGAGUUCAAGACCAGGCUGGGCAAUAGAGUGAGACCCCAUCUCUCUCUCUCUAAAAAAAAAAAAAAAUACAUAUAUAUACACAUAUAUAUACACACACACACGGAAAAAUAUAUAUUAUAUAUUAUAAAUAUAUAUUAUAUAUUAUAUAUUUUUAUAUAUUUAUAGAUUAUAUAAUUAUAAUAUAUAACUAUAUAUGACAUAUAAUAUAUAUUAUUAUAUAUAUAUUUAUUAUAUAUAUAGAGAGAGAGAUGGAGUUUUGCUCUUAUUGCCCAGGCUGGAGUGCAAUGAUGCAAUCUCGGCUCACUGCAACCUCCACCUCCCGGGUUCAAGCAAUUCUCCUGCCUCAGCCUCCGAAGUAGCUGGGAUUACAGGCAUGAGCCACCACACCUAAUUUUGUAUUUUUAGUAGAGAUGGGGUUUCUCCGUGUUGGUUAGGCUGGUCUCGAACUCCUGACCUCAGGUGAUCUGCCCACCUCAGCCUCCCAAAGUGCUGGGAUUGCAGGCAUGAACCACCAUGCCCAGCUGAAAAAAAAUUUUUAAUAUGUUUAAAGAAGUGUAAAACGGGCCAGGUGCGGUGACUCACAGCUGUAAUCCCAGCACUUUGGAAAGCCAAAUGGGUGGGUCACUUGAGGUCAAGAGUUAGAGACCAGCCUGGCCAACAUGGCAAAACCCUGUCUCUACUAAAAAUACAAAACUUAGCCGAGUAUGGUGGUGCGUGCCUGUGAUUCCAGCUACUCAGGAGGCUGAGGCAGGAGAAUUGCUUGAACUCGGGAGGUGGAGGCUGCAAUGAGCCGAGAUGGUGCCACUGCACCCCAGCCUGGGCAACAGAGCAAGACCUUGUCUGAAAAAAAAAAAAAAAAAGAAUUGUAAAGCGAUACUGAAAAUAUGGCAAAUAAACUAAUUAAAUUAAUUAGGCAUAUUUGAAGAUGAACCAAAUAAAACUCUCAGGAAUGAAACUAUAAUUAUUAAGAUUUAAAACCUCAAAAGAGGUUGGGUGUGGUGGCUCACACUUGUAAUCCCAGCUCUUUGGGAGGCUGAGACAGGUAGAUCACUUGAGGUCAGAAGUUUGAGACCAGCCCGGCCAACAUGGCAAAACCCUGUCUCUACCAAAAAUACAAAAAUUAGCCGGGCAUAGUAGCCGGCACCUGUAAUCCCAGCUAUUCGGGAGGCUGAGGCUUGAGAAUCACUUGAACUUGGGAGGCGGAGGUUGCAGUGAGCCAAUGUCACGCCACCACACUCCAGUCUGGACAACAGAGUGAGACUGUCUCAAAAAUAAAAUAAAAUAAACAGUUUAAGAAAUUACUAAAAAUUCAGCAAAGAAUGAAAAAAUGGUGAAAUAUGAAAGAGAAGUUAAAAGACAUGGAAGAAAUCCAACAUUUAUUCCUGAUGAAAACCUCUCAGCAAACUAAGAACUAAUGGGAAUUCCUCAACUCAAUGAUGGACAUUCACAAAAACCCUACAUCUACUGUCAUAUUUUAUGGUAAGAAACUGAAUUCUUUCACUCUAAGUUCAGGAAGAAGCAAGGAUACCUCCUCUUAACACACCCAUUCAAUAUUUUACUAGAGGCCCUAACCAGUGCAAGAAGUCAAGAAAAACAAAUAAAAGGCCUACAGACUGGCAAAGAAGAAACAAACCUGUUUCUGUUAGCAAAAUACAUAAUUGCCUUUAUAGAAAAUCACAAAGAAUCUACAAAAAGCUCCUACAAUGAAUGACUUAAGCAAAGUUAUGGGAUAUGAGGUCAGCAUAGAAAAACCAAUUGUGCCAGUGGGGCUAUGGGUGGCCCCUUUUCUCCUCAGUCAGGGCUGGAGGCCAAGAUCAGCCUUUGAGGAUUAUCAGGGCUGCCACAAGCUGGGCAGCCUUGUUUUCCUACCUCAGACAUUUGUAGAAGGAAAAAAAAAAUCAAUUGUAUUCCUAUAGAUUAGCAAUAAAUAAAUUGGAAAUUUUGAAAAGUACCAUUUAGAACUGCAUAAGAAACAGAUUCCUACUUUGUAAAAAUCUAACGAAACAUGUGCAAGAGCAGUAUGCAGAAAACAAAACAAAACCGAUGAGAGAAACUAAAAAAUAUCUACAUAAAUGUUUAUAAAGUAGAAAAAUCAACAUGGUUAAGUGACAAACUCUUCCCAAUGCAACCAACAGAGUUAAUGCAAUACCAGUCAAAAUCCCAUCAGGGUGCCAGGUGUGGUGGCUCACACCUGUAAUCCCAGCACUUUGGGAGACCAAGGUGGGCAGAUCACUUGAGGCCAGGAGUUCAAGACCAGCCAAGUGAUCUGCUCUGUUGUCCAGGCUGGAGUGCAGUGGCGUGAUCUCAGCUCACUGCAACCUCUGCUUCCAGGGUUCAAGCGAUUCUCCUGCCUCAUCCUCGAGUAGCUGGGAUUACAGGUGCACACCAUCAUUCCUGGGUAAUUUUUGUAUUUUUAGCAGCGGCAGGGUUUCACCAUGUUGACCACGCUAAUCUUGAACUCCUGACCUCAAGUGAUUUGCCUGCCUCAGCCUCCCAAAGUGCUGGGAUUACAGAUGUGAGCGACUGUGCCCAGCCUUAUAAGUAAAUUUAUAAUUUACAUAAUUUAAAUGCUUAUGCUGCAAUGGGAGACGAAUCAAAUAUCAAUAAUCUAAGCUUCCACCUCAAGUAGUUCAAAAAAGAAAAGGAAAUCAAACCCAAAGUAAGAAGAAGAAAAUAAUAAAGAUAAGAGCAGAAAUCAAUGAAAUAGAAAAAAACAAUAGGCCGGGCGCGGUGGCUCAAGCCUGUAAUCCCAGCACUUUGGGAGGCCGAGGCGGGCGGAUC